CCUACGGGAGGCAGCAGUGAGGAAUAGUGGUCAAUGGGCGCAAGCCUGAACCAGCCAAGUCGCGUGAGGGAUGACGGUCCUAUGGAUUGUAAACCUCUUUUGUCGGGGAGCAAGGCCCGCCACGUGUGGCGGGAAGGAGAGUACCCGAAGAAAAAGCAGAGGCGAACUCCGUGCCAGCAGCCGCGGUAAUACGGAGGAUGCGAGCGUUAGCCGGAUUUAUUGGGUUGAAAGGGGGCGUCGGCGGAAGGUUAAGUCAGCGGUCAAAUGUCGGGGCUCAACACCGGCCUGCCGUUGAAACUGGUCUUCUUGAGUGGGCGAGAAGUAUGCGGAAUGCGUGGUGUAGCGG
rnacentral:rRNA from 1 species